rnacentral:rRNA from 1 species
UACGGGGGGGGCAAGCGUUGUUCGGAAUUACUGGGCGUAAAGGGCUCGUAGGCGGCCAACUAAGUCAGACGUGAAAUCCCUCGGCUUAACCGGGGAACUGCGUCUGAUACUGGAUGGCUUGAGGUUGGGAGAGGGAUGCGGAAUUCCAGGUGUAGCGGUGAAAUGCGUAGAUAUCGGGAGGAACACCUGAGGCGAAGGCGGGUUACUGGGCUGAUACUGACGCUGAGGCGCGAAAGCCAGGGGAGCAAACGGG